AUUGAUUUUUCUUUCACAGCAUUCACAUGGCCCCUUUAUGGUGUCUGCCGUCGCCAAACCGGACGAAGGUGGGGAUGACGUCAAAUCAUCAUGCCCCUUAUGACCUGGGCUACACACGUGCUACAAUGGACAGAACAAAGGGCCGCGAGACCGCAAGGUUUAGCCAAUCCCACAAAUCUGUUCUCAGUUCGGAUCGCAGUCUGCAACUCGACUGCGUGAAGCUGGAAUCGCUAGUAAUCGCGGAUCAGCAUGCCGCGGUGAAUACGUUCCCGGGCCUUGUACACACCGCCCGUCACACCACGAGAGUUUGCAACACCCGAAGUCGGUGAGGUAACCUUUAUGGAGCCAGCCCCG
rnacentral:rRNA from 1 species